rnacentral:rRNA from 1 species
AUCUAAAAUCAAGGGGRAUUCCCCGCUAAACUUAAGCAU